AUACGGAGGGGGCUAGCGUUGUUCGGAAUCACUGGGCGUAAAGCGCUCGUAGGCGGACCAGUCAGUCAGAGGUGAUAUCCCAAGGCUCAACCUUGGAACUGCCUUUGAUACUGCUGGUCUUGAGGUCGAGAGAGGUAAGUGGAAUUCCUAGUGUAGAGGUGAAAUUCGUAGAUAUUAGGAAGAACACCAGUGGCGAAGGCGGCUUACUGGCUCGAUUCUGACGCUGAGGAGCGAAAGCGUGGGGAGCAAACAGGAUUAGAAACCCUAGUAGUCC
rnacentral:rRNA from 1 species